rnacentral:rRNA from 1 species
UACGAAGGGGGCUAGCGUUGUUCGGAAUUACUGGGCGUAAAGCGCACGUAGGCGGAUACUUAAGUCAGGGGUGAAAUCCCCGGGGCUCAACCCCGGGAACUGCCUUUGAUAGCUGGGGUACUCUAGCUCGGAACGGAUGACCGGGGAAAGAGGUUGGAAGUUCGGAAAUUCCGGAUGGUGUAGGAGGGUGAAAAAUUUCGGUA